AGCAGCCGCGGUAAUUCCAGCUCCAAUAGCGUAUAUUAAAGUUGUUGCAGUUAAAAAGCUCGUAGUUGAAUUUCGGGAUCAAUAUAUCGGUCGUGCCUUCGGUACGUACUGGUAUCAUUGGUUUCUCCUUUCUGACGAACCAUGAUGUCAUUAAUUUGGUGUUAUGGGGAGUUAGGACUGUUACUUUGAAAAAAUUAGAGUGUUUAAAGCAGGCUUUAGCUUGAAUACAUUAGCAUGGAAUAAUGAAAUAGGACGUUCGAACCUAUUUUGUUGGUUUCUAGGAUCAACGUAAUGAUUAAUAGGGAUAGUUGGGGGCAUUAGUAUUCAAUUGUCAGAGGUGAAAUUCUUUGGAUUUCAUUGGAAGACUAACUACUGCGAAAGCAUUUGCCAAGGAUGUUUUCAUUAAUCAAGAACGAAAGUUAGGGGAUCGAAGACGAUCAGAUACCGUCGUAGUCUUAACCAUAAACUAUGCCGACUAGGGAUCGGAUGAUGUUAAUUUUUUAAUGACUCAUUCGGCGCC
rnacentral:rRNA from 1 species